rnacentral:rRNA from 1 species
AUACGUAGGGAGCGAGCGUUAUCCGGAUUUAUUGGGUGUAAAGGGCGCGUAGACGGAUCUGCAAGUUGGAUGUGAAAUCCCUAGGCUUAACUUAGGAACUGCAUCCAAAACUGUAGACCUUGAGUAUGGGAGAGGAAAGCGGAAUUCCUAGUGUAGCGGUGAAAUGCGUAGAUAUUAGGAGGAACACCAGUGGCGAAGGCGGCUUUCUGGACCAAAACUGACGUUGAGGCGCGAAAGUGUGGGGAGCAAACAGGAUUAGAUACCCUGGUAGUCCACACCGUAAACGAUGGAUACUAGGUGUAGGGAGGAUAAAACCUUUCUGCGCCGGCGUUAACACAAUAAGUAUCCCACCUGAGGAGUACGACCGCAAGGUUAAAACUCAAAUGAAUUGGCGGGG